UCUCAUUGUUUAGAGUUUCUUACGUGAAUGUUACAUAAGCUUGCAACGGCCGUGACUGUGUGGAAGAGUCUGGUGUUUCGUUCUAGGCAAGCUAGAGUUUUUUAAGAGAAUGGCCAGUGCUUCGAGGCCUCCAAGGCCUCCUCUUCCUCCUUCCACGACCAAAGCUCUAGUAAAACAGGAAAUGUCGAGCAUGGCUAGCAGCAGGAGGAUCAAAGCCUUGCAUCUCAUUCCACUGCUUUUGAUCCUGUGUUUGCUCAUUCUCUACGGAGCGAGCAACGCUUCUUCUUCCCAACCCAAGCAAGGUAAAGUUUAGUGAGUUUCCUCAUCCAUCUCAGCUCCAAGGUCUCCAGAUCUAAAGAACUUCGAAGAAAACUUUGAAGAGAGCUUGGAAGAGGAAACGGCAACCGGCGCGGAGAAAGUCACGCAAGUUCCUCUCAACUGGCGACUCUCAUCGAGGAAACUGAGGCUCAGAUUUCCUAGAAAAUCGGGAGGGACGAAGCUCGAGUGAC
rnacentral:lncRNA from 1 species